rnacentral:rRNA from 1 species
GACGUAGGGCGCGAGCGUUGUCCGGAUUUAUUGGGCGUAAAGAGCUCGUAGGCGGCUCAGUAAGUCGGGUGUGAAACCUCCAGGCUCAACCUGGAGACGCCACCCGAUACUGCUGUGGCUUGAGUCCGGUAGGGGAGCGUGGAAUUCCUGGUGUAGCGGUGAAAUGCGCAGAUAUCAGGAGGAACACCAGCGGCGAAGGCGGCGCUCUGGGCCGGAACUGACGCUGAGGAGCGAAAGCGUGGGUAGCAAACAGG